rnacentral:rRNA from 1 species
CCUACUUUAGUCUUCAGUUUUUAAUAUUUCACAAUUUUUUAAACCCUGAUUCAGCUACUCCUCUUGAGUGAAGAAGUAAUUCGUUAUGUAAAGCUCUAUCAGCAGGGAAGAAAAUGACGGUACCUGAGUAAGAAGCCCCGGCUAACUACGUGCCAGCAGCCGCGGUAAUACGUAGGGGGCAAGCGUUAUCCGGAUUUACUGGGUGUAAAGGGAGCGUAGACGGCAGUGCAAGUCUGGAGUGAAAGGCGGGGGCUCAACCCCCGGACUGCUCUGGAAACUGUACGGCUGGAGUGCAGGAGAGGUAAGUGGAAUUCCUAGUGUAGCGGUGAAAUGCGUAGAUAUUAGGAGGAACACCAGUGGCGAAGGCGGCUUACUGGACUGUAACUGACGUUGAGGCUCGAAAGCGUGGGGAGCAAACAGGAUUAGAUACCCUAGUAGUC